AAAUUGAAGAGUUUGAUCAUGGCUCAGAUUGAACGCUGGCGGCAGGCCUAACACAUGCAAGUCGAACGGUAACAGGAAGCAGCUUGCUGCUUUGCUGACGAGUGGCGGACGGGUGAGUAAUGUCUGGGAAACUGCCUGAUGGAGGGGGAUAACUACUGGAAACGGUAGCUAAUACCGCAUAACGUCGCAAGACCAAAGAGGGGGACCUUCGGGCCUCUUGCCAUCGGAUGUGCCCAGAUGGGAUUAGCUAGUAGGUGGGGUAACGGCUCACCUAGGCGACGAUCCCUAGCUGGUCUGAGAGGAUGACCAGCCACACUGGAACUGAGACACGGUCCAGACUCCUACGGGAGGCAGCAGUGGGGAAUAUUGCACAAUGGGCGCAAGCCUGAUGCAGCCAUGCCGCGUGUAUGAAGAAGGCCUUCGGGUUGUAAAGUACUUUCAGCGGGGAGGAAGGGAGUAAAGUUAAUACCUUUGCUCAUUGACGUUACCCGCAGAAGAAGCACCGGCUAACUCCGUGCCAGCAGCCGCGGUAAUACGGAGGGUGCAAGCGUUAAUCGGAAUUACUGGGCGUAAAGCGCACGCAGGCGGUUUGUUAAGUCAGAUGUGAAAUCCCCGGGCUCAACCUGGGAACUGCAUCUGAUACUGGCAAGCUUGAGUCUCGUAGAGGGGGGUAGAAUUCCAGGUGUAGCGGUGAAAUGCGUAGAGAUCUGGAGGAAUACCGGUGGCGAAGGCGGCCCCCUGGACGAAGACUGACGCUCAGGUGCGAAAGCGUGGGGAGCAAACAGGAUUAGAUACCCUGGUAGUCCACGCCGUAAACGAUGUCGACUUGGAGGUUGUGCCCUUGAGGCGUGGCUUCCGGAGCUAACGCGUUAAGUCGACCGCCUGGGGAGUACGGCCGCAAGGUUAAAACUCAAAUGAAUUGACGGGGGCCCGCACAAGCGGUGGAGCAUGUGGUUUAAUUCGAUGCAACGCGAAGAACCUUACCUGGUCUUGACAUCCACGGAAGUUUUCAGAGAUGAGAAUGUGCCUUCGGGAACCGUGAGACAGGUGCUGCAUGGCUGUCGUCAGCUCGUGUUGUGAAAUGUUGGGUUAAGUCCCGCAACGAGCGCAACCCUUAUCCUUUGUUGCCAGCGGUCCGGCCGGGAACUCAAAGGAGACUGCCAGUGAUAAACUGGAGGAAGGUGGGGAUGACGUCAAGUCAUCAUGGCCCUUACGACCAGGGCUACACACGUGCUACAAUGGCGCAUACAAAGAGAAGCGACCUCGCGAGAGCAAGCGGACCUCAUAAAGUGCGUCGUAGUCCGGAUUGGAGUCUGCAACUCGACUCCAUGAAGUCGGAAUCGCUAGUAAUCGUGGAUCAGAAUGCCACGGUGAAUACGUUCCCGGGCCUUGUACACACCGCCCGUCACACCAUGGGAGUGGGUUGCAAAAGAAGUAGGUAGCUUAACCUUCGGGAGGGCGCUUACCACUUUGUGAUUCAUGACUGGGGUGAAGUCGUAACAAGGUAACCGUAGGGGAACCUGCGGUUGGAUCACCUCCUUACCUUAAA
rnacentral:rRNA from 1 species